CCGGGUGAGUAACACGUGACUAACCUACCCUAGAGUGGGGAAUAACCUCGGGAAACCGGGGCUAAUAUCGCAUAACAUCACGAGGUGUAAAUUCCUAGUGAUCAAAGGAGCAAUUCGCUCAAUGAGGGGGUCGCGGCUGAUUAGUUAGUUGGUGAGGUAACGGCUCACCAAGACUUAGAUCAGUAUCCGGCCUGAGAGGGCGCACGGACACACUGGAACUGAAACACGGUCCAG
rnacentral:rRNA from 1 species